UCGCAUGCUAGGGGAGAACUUAGCCCCUAAAAGCUGCCCUCUGACCUCCACAUGCACACCCCUCCCUUCCCAGUGAAGUAACGGAAAGUAAAUGUGACGUCAUGGAUUUAGAACCAAUCAGGAGAGGCUUGUGGGAGGCCCUGGGCGUCACAUGAGAAGCCCUUGCUCGUGGUGAGCUUUCUGCAUGAACCCUGCAGUGAGGACUUCUCAUUCUAGGGACAUUUGGCACAGGCAGAAACAGGAUCUCAAAACAAACAAAAACCCUAUCGGAUCAGAGAGAAGAUGUCACUGCCAACGUACAGGAGGAACAUAAGCCCCCAGUUUCUUUGGUUAAGGGGUUCUGCCUGGAUUCUAUCUUGGCAAGCCUCACAGUCUACGGAGUUGGCGUGGCUCUUGGCACCUGAGCAUGUGCAGAUUAGGAAAGACAACAGGGGGAGACCAUCUACAUUGUAUAGAGAGCCCAUCUGAUGUGCCCACGCCUGCAGUUCCUUUAUCAGAAGUGAGCCUAGAGCAUGAAGACAAAGACAAUUCUGGUCUCUGUGGGGAUGUGGAACAGUCCCGGGGCAGCUAAUCGCAGCCAGUGUCCAGCCUCAGCCGCCUACCCAUCCCAGCAGCGAUCCUUCCUUCUGGUGCUAAAGGAAGUCUCCCCCGCCGUGCGGUCACUUGAAGGAUGCCCAGAUGUCUGCAGGGCUGACUCCAUCAGCACAAGAUGAAUCUCUCCACCUCUUCAGAGAGCAGAUCAAGGAAGCCAGCCACAGGGCAUCUACUUUGACUGCUUUCUCAGAAGCCACUCUGCAGACACCUCAAAUCAACACCCUCCCCAGGGAGGCUGCACUCCCAACACCUAUGGUGAUACUGUGGCCCAGUCCCUGGCUUGGAGCUUCUUCCCCCUUUUAUCAGCUUUUCCCCAAUAAUACAAACCAUUAGAGCACAUGCCCCAGGUAAGCCCAGCCAAUCAAGGAAAAUAAAACUUGCUAAUCUAA